rnacentral:rRNA from 1 species
AUGGCCGAACGCUUCCCAGGCGACGCGGCGGCGGCCAACGGCUUCGGCCGCCGCUCGCUCCACGAGUGGGAGGCGUACCUCUUCUUCGAGGCCAACAUCCUGGCGCCGCCGGACAUGCGCGCCGGGCCGACGGGGUGGAGGCUCAGCAACGGGGGCGUCCCCAUCCCCCUGGUGCCCGAUGUCAACGCGCGCCCCGCCAUCUUCGCCGCUGAGGUCGACCGCGUGCGGGCGUCCCUAACGGAGGAGCAGCGCGCCCUCCCCCAAUACGCCGCCGACAACCACACGUCGUGGGCGGCGUACUUCCAGCGCCGGCAGGCGCAGCGGCUGGCGUCCACCAAUGGGGCGCCGGUGGUGGGCGGCGUCAAGAACAGCGAGGAGCGCCGCGUAUGGUGGGGCGCCCCCGGCCGCACGCUCCACGAGGUGCUGGCAUACCUCGAGGGCGACAAUGACUCGGCGCUGGCAUAA